rnacentral:rRNA from 1 species
UACGGAGGGUGCAAGCGUUAUCCGGAUUCACUGGGUUUAAAGGGUGCGUAGGCGGAUUGCUAAGUCAGGGGUGAAAUCCUGGAGCUCAACUCCAGAACUGCCUUUGAUACUGGUGAUCUUGAGUCCGGGAGAGGUGAGUGGAACUGCGAGUGUAGCGGUGAAAUGCGUAGAGAUGUGGAGGAACACCAGUGGCGAAGGCGACUCUUUGGCCUGUAACUGACGCUGAGGCGCGAAAGCGUGGGGAGCAAACAGG